UACAGAGGUCUCAAGCGUUGUUCGGAUUCAUUGGGCGUAAAGGGCGCGUAGGCUGCGGGGCAAGUCGGGUGUGAAAUCUCAGAGCUCAACUCUGAAACUGCACUCGAUACUGCUUUGCUCGAGGACUGGAGAGGAGAUUGGAAUUCACGGUGUAGCAGUGAAAUGCGUAGAUAUCGUGAGGAAAGACCAGUGGCGAAAGGCGGAUCUCUGGACAGUUCCUGACGCUGAGGCGCGAAGGCCAGGGGGAGCAAAACGGGG
rnacentral:rRNA from 1 species